UACGAAGGGGGCUAGCGUUGCUCGGAAUUACUGGGCGUAAAGGGCGCGUAGGCGGCACUGUUAGUCAGGCGUGAAAGUCCUGGGCUCAACCUGGGAACUGCGCUUGAUACGGCAGAGCUAGAGGAUGGAAGAGGGUCGCGGAAUUCCCAGUGUAGAGGUGAAAUUCGUAGAUAUUGGGAGGAACACCGGUGGCGAAGGCGGCCUUCUGGACGGAUACUGACGCUGAUACGCGAAAGCGUGGGGAGCAAACAGG
rnacentral:rRNA from 1 species